AGAAAUUUUGAAUAUUUAUUGAAAUACAUUGUCGCUCGCUUCACUCAUGCAUGCUGAUGCUAUUGGGGUGUUCACUCUUCGUACAUGCUAAGAGGGUAUUCAAGCUGAGUUCAUGCUGCUAAGAAGGUUCCAUGCAGGCUAUCAAACACUUAAAAAUGGGUCAAGAAGGGAACUGUUGUUGCGCUCAUGCACUGUACCAAACACACCCUAUCAAGUUUUAAUAUGUUUGGAUUUUUUGAUAGAUAACCACAUAUGCAUAUGAUGAGAUACACUAACAAAUUAGCAGGAUAGGUGUGACGUAAACUGAGCAGAUGCUUCCUCUGCAAGGAAAGAAAAACAUUAUUGUGACCCUGACUCUUGUGUAAACAAAUACCAAUUGAAUUUUGGAGAACUGUUGCCUACUGUCUAUUGAAUUGGUCGUCCCAUGCUUUGAAGAAAAUUGGCCCUUCCAUAUGUCAAUCAGGAAUAAACUAUUGACUAUACAUUCUCCACAAAAAGGCCGCUUCCUUAAGAAACGAAGUAAACCACCACACACUCACUCAUUCUGUUACAACCUCCGAUACAUCUAAGAUGAUCCUGGCCAGCAAAAGAUAUGACAUAUUUUUCUUUGAUAUCAUUUGCUUUGAGAUUGCUCACUACAUAUGUCAUAAACAAUAGAUCGCUAGUCAAAUCAGUAGGGACCCCCCCUCCCUCCGAUGAGGCGACAUCGUUGCCGUAGAGCCGACGACCACGACAGCCGCCGCACGCAAACCUGCCGUUUGCCGCUGUGAUGAGCCAAAGGCAGCCUCGCCAUGACCCGCAUCCUCCUCUGAAAGUGGCGAAGAGGGAGAGAAGGGUGACAACGGCUAAGGACGUCGAUUUGUUCGACAGGAUGCGGACACAUAUGCAAGUGUUUUUUUAGUAGGGUAUUUUCAAUUGACCGAAUAAUAAUUGUAAAACCAAUGAAUUCUUAGCCGACUAAGCAUUACUUGUUCCUUUUUUACC